GUAGGUGGCAAGCGUUGUCCGGAAUUAUUGGGCGUAAAGCGCGCGCAGGUGGUUCUUUAAGUCUGAUGUGAAAGCCCCCGGGCUCAACCGGGGAGGGUCAUUGGAAACUGGGGAGCUUGAGUGCAGGAGAGGAAAGUGGAAUUCCACGUGUAGCGGUGAAAUGCGUAGAUAUGUGGAGGAACACCAGUGGCGAAGGCGACUUUCUGGCCUGUAACUGACACUGAGGCGCGAAAGCGUGGGGAGCAAACAGGGUUAGAUACCCUGGUAGUCCACGCCGUAAACGAUGAGUGCUAAGUGUUGGGGGGUUUCCGCCCCUCAGUGCUGCAGCUAACGCAUUAAGCACUCCGCCUGGGGAGUACGGUCGCAAAGACUG
rnacentral:rRNA from 1 species